rnacentral:rRNA from 1 species
GACGAACGCUGGCGGCGUGCUUAACACAUGCAAGUCGAACGGAAAGGCCCUGCUUUUGUGGGGUGCUCGAGUGGCGAACGGGUGAGUAACACGUGAGUAACCUGCCCUUGACUUUGGGAUAACUUCAGGAAACUGGGGCUAAUACCGGAUAGGAGCUCCUGCUGCAUGGUGGGGGUUGGAAAGUUUCGGCGGUUGGGGAUGGACUCGCGGCUUAUCAGCUUGUUGGUGGGGUAGUGGCUUACCAAGGCUUUGACGGGUAGCCGGCCUGAGAGGGUGACCGGCCACAUUGGGACUGAGAUACGGCCCAGACUCCUACGGGAGGCAGCAGUGGGGAAUAUUGCACAAUGGGCGGAAGCCUGAUGCAGCAACGCCGCGUGCGGGAUGACGGCCUUCGGGUUGUAAACCGCUUUCGCCUGUGACGAUGCGUGAGUGACGGUAAUGGGUAAAGAAGCACCGGCUAACUACGU